UGACACCCUCCCUCACUCUGUCACUAGUCACCCCCUCCCUCACUGUCACUAGUCACCCCCUCCCUCUCUCUGUCACUAGUCACCCCCUCCCUCACUCUUUCACUAGAGUGAGGGGGUGACUAGUGACAGAGUGAGGGGGGUGACUAGUGACAGAGUGAGGGAUGGAGUGGGUGACCAGUGACAGAGGGAGGGGGUGACACAGUGAGGGAGGUGGUGACUAGUGACAGAGUGAGGGAGGUGGUGACUGUCACUAGUCACUAGUCACCACCUCCCUCCCUCUGUCGCUAGUCACCCCUCCCUCUGUCACUAGUCACCCCCUUCCUCACUCUGUCACUAGUCACCCCUUCCCUCCCUAACGCUGUCAACUAGUCACCACUUCCCUCCCUCACUCUGUCACUAGUCACACCCUCCCUCACUGUCACUAGAGUGAGGGGGUGACUAGUGACAGAGUGAGGGAGGUGGUGAAUGUCAUUAGUCACCACCUCCCUCUGUCACUACUCCAUCCCUCCUUCUGUCACUAGUCACCCCCUAACUCACUCUGUCACCAGUCAUCCCCUCACUCUAGUGA